rnacentral:lncRNA from 1 species
GGGGUUUUUUAGCUGCCCAAAAUCUCUCUGAAUGACAAUUUCUGUCUUGCUCUUCACCACGACCCUCCUGUAUCACCUGAACACAGUGGUGAGCUUAAAGCACAGCUGAGUGAGAGAACAUGAUCAAGAUAAUUGGCCAUGCUGAGAUAACUGACUUCACUGUUGGAAAGACACCUUGGAUAAAUUGGCAUGGCAAGUCAGCUGGAAAUUCAGAGUGCCAGGAGGGAAGUCCAAACUUACUUUGCAGAAGAAGGUUCUGCUGUUUCACUGAUCUGAAAAAUCCUGUGCAUCCCUCGGUGGUUUCACCUUGCACUCAGGUAUAA